rnacentral:rRNA from 1 species
GACGAACGCUGGCGGCGUGCUUAACACAUGCAAGUCGAACGGAAAGGCCCUGCUUUUGUGGGGUGCUCGAGUGGCGAACGGGUGAGUAACACGUGAGUAACCUGCCCUUGACUUUGGGAUAACUUCAGGAAACUGGGGCUAAUACCGGAUAGGAGCUCCUGCUGCAUGGUGGGGGUUGGAAAGUUUCGGCGGUUGGGGAUGGACUCGCGGCUUAUCAGCUUGUUGGUGGGGUAGUGGCUUACCAAGGCUUUGACGGGUAGCCGGCCUGAGAGGGUGACCGGACGCAGUGGGACUGAGAUAAGGCCGGGACGCCUACGGGAGGCAGCAGUGGGGAAUAGUGCACAGUGGGCGGAAGCCUGAUGCAGCAGCGCUGCGUGCGGGAGGACGGCCUUCGGGUUGUAAACCGCUUUCGCCUGUGACGAAGCGUGAGUGACGGUAAUGGGUAAAGAAGCACCGGCUAACUACGUG